GCAGCCCACUCCUGGCAGACACAGUUUCCACAUGAUCUAUUUUUCAGCCCAGAAUUGACGCAGCAGCCAGAGCUACCGCCUGGGCUGUGUCAGGCUUGCAAACCUCUUGGGCUCGCUCAGGGCAGAACCUGCUGGAAGGGCCGGGAAGAGCUGGGACCUGGAACCUGGAACCAAGCCAUCCCUGGGGCCAGAGAGGAGGCCACACAGGGCAGAGGGCACAGCCAGGCCGGCACGCUGGUGAGUUCUUCCAGAAGGAGGGAGAAGCAGUGGCCAACAAGCCCUGGAGACUAUUCCAGCCCCUGGCGUCGUGGGAACUGCCAAGGGGACCAUCGAUGUGGCAGCUGCCCAGGCCUGCGCGGAUGGCAGGGAGAUUCUGGCCCCCACCCCCACAGCACGGCAUCUGGCUGGCUCUGUGGGAACGUGGAGGUGGCGCAGGAGGGGAGUCCACACCCUGCUCUUUGUUCUCUAGGCUGUGCGUGCGUGCCUGCUUGUGUGUGUGUGUGUGUGUGUGUGUGUGUGUAUGUGUGCACUGGGGAAGGGCCUGGGAGACAGGGGCCAGGCCAGCCACGCAUCUUUCUGAAAGAAUAUAUUCAUGCUGCAGCGAAAGACAGUGAUCGGAGCGUGACCCCCAGCUCUGGGGACCUUCCUGACUCCUGUGAAGACCAGAUUCUCUUCCAGAAAGAGGGAGGGGAGCGGGCGCGGUCGAGGAGAGACCCGCGUCGCGUGGGAAAGAGAACUCAGACUCGGGAGUAGCUGGGGGACCUCAGUGAAGGCAGUUUUCUCUUCUCUCCAGGGGGACUGGUCAAAUCUGCCCUAUCAAACAGGCACAGGAUUCAAAUGCCAGCUGUGAGUGUUUACGUCCCCUUGUUGCCAGCCCUGAAGAUACAGUCCCAGGGCGCAUCGACAUUUCCAGAGCACUGCCACAGCCUCGCUUCAUUGUGGUUUUUCGUUUCAUUGUCACAAGGAGUGACGAUGUCAUUGACUACUAUUCGGAAAAAGAGAAUGUGUCUAAGGCUCCAUGUUCCUCAGCCACGUUUCUCGGCCACAGGAUCAACCUUCGCAUCCCUUCUCCUCCCCAUUUUCCGUGCUUCUGCUGCAAGGGCUUUCCUUUUCCUAAGAACACACUCUGACCUGGCAUAGAGCCUCCUUAGACCUUAAACAAGACAAAUCCUUCCGCCAUAAAAACUCACCACCAACUCCUUGAAGUUUAUGAGGAAACUGUCUCAAGGAGAUAUACCAGAGUGAGCUGCAGAUUUUUAGGAAAGAAGGAGAUGAUGGAAUUUCAUCCGGGAACCACACGUCCAAGAGUCAGACAGCACUGCACCAGGCAACCUGCGUGGUGAUUAACACGUAGAGACAAUGCAAAACAUGGGCAGUUUUAUUAUUAAAUUUAUAUCUUCCAGCGUAGCUGGAAGGGCAAGGAUAAGAUGCACAUGGAUAACCUAAAGCAGCACACAUCGAGAGGACCUCAGCGAGAGGGACAGGGUGUGAUGAGGUCACAGAACAAAGAGCUAGUCCCCUCCUGCGGCAAUAAGAUGAGUACCCAAUGUCCCUUCUCCAGUGUGGGAGAGACCAGGGCCGGAUCAAGAGAAGGGAGAAAACUGUAGGAAGCCGGUGAUCAAGGCAGAAAAGCAAGCUCUGACCAGGAUGGCUUGGAUCCUAAUUUGUAUGCUGAUUGCUGCAGUCCGUUUCCAUUCUGGUCCUGUAUUUAUUUACUGUAUUUGCAUUUACCUGGGUAAGGCAACUCUGCAAUACAGGGCAUGCAAUGAUUUUGUCUAGUGAGCUAAGCAGCCUUAACAGAAUGUUGUAAAAGUGCUGAAUUCUAAGUUCAGAAGUCUAGAUAAUCAUUGGCAAAAGCUGCCCAAUAAUGUCACCAAUAAACCAUAUGACUCACACA
rnacentral:lncRNA from 1 species